rnacentral:rRNA from 1 species
GAUGAACGCUGGCGGCGUGCCUAAUACAUGCAAGUCGAGCGAACAGACGAGGAGCUUGCUCCUCUGACGUUAGCGGCGGACGGGUGAGUAACACGUGGAUAACCUACCUAUAAGACUGGGAUAACUUCGGGAAACCGGAGCUAAUACCGGAUAAUAUAUUGAACCGCAUGGUUCAAUAGUGAAAGACGGUUUUGCUGUCACUUAUAGAUGGAUCCGCGCCGGAUUAGCUAGUUGGUAAGGUAACGGCUUACCAAGGCGACGAUGCGUAGCCGACCUGAGAGGAUGAGCAGCCAAACUGGAACUGAGACACGGUCAAGGCUCAUACGGGAGGCAGCAGUGGGGAAUAUUGGACAAUGGGCGAAAGACUGAUGCAGACAUACCGCGUGGAUGAAGAAGGCAUUCGGGUUGUAAAGCCCUUUUAGUGGGAAAGAAAAGAGGAAGGUUAAUACCCUGGCGUAUUGACGGUACCCAAAGAAGAAGCACCGGCUAACUCCGUG